GGGACGCCGAGGGGAGGAGGAGGAGGCGGCUCGGAUGGCUGGCUCGGCUCUCGCUCGCUCUCCCUCCCAUGGGCAAGUCCGGCUCACACCCUGCUUCUCCCGCUCACUCACAGCCCCCUUGGCUCUCCCUCCUCCUCCUCCUUCCCCUGCGGGAUCCGCUCGCCGCCGCCGCCGCCGCCGCAGACGGCAAGUCGUGGCAGCCAGACGUCGGCGCGUAACCCGGCGCUCCGUGCGUGACUCCAGGCGACGUCAGCGCGCGCUCCGCGUUCCCCACCCCUCCUCCCAACUCCGUGGCUCGCGCCCUUCGCUCUCGCGUCCCUCCGUUUUAGCUGCCGCCGCGGCGGCCGCCGAGCGCGCUCUUUCCGCCCCCUUCUCGCGCGUGAGCGCGCCCUAUCGGCUCCUGGCGCGUCAACAUUCCGCGGGCCAGGCCUUGGGGCGCGUCUGAGGAGGGGGAUGUCUGUGGCCUCUCCGCCCACACUUCCUCCACCCACCGCCCACAGCGCCCCAGAAGGACCUAUUACUCGUUUGGCUUCUGAAGGCCGAAGCCAGGCUCUGGCGGGGAUAGAACCCUGAAGGGCCUGCGCCAGCUCCAACUUAGGGCCCUGUGCGUCGUUGCGACUUCUGCUACCACCCUAUCACGCGGCACCCCCGCCCCAACUCCGCCCGGGUCUCUGAAGAGGCAAUAGGCCUUUCAUCUCCGGGGAAAGUCUCACCUUGGCCCUCAGACACCCGCCAAGAGGGGUCGGAAGGACAGAAUUAGCAUAGAGAAGAGUGGCUAGAGCACUUUUCAGGCUCUGGCCCCAGGAAUCCUUGACAGGAAGCGUGGGGUUGCUGCCCAGCCUCCCACGCAGUGUAAUAUGUUGAAGCCGGGCCCCUUUGAGGGAAUGCGACUUCCUUGGGCCGAGGGGGAAAGGGCAGUGCCUGAUGGCUGAGAAGAAUCGCAGAGGACUAGAAAAGGUUUGAGUCUGAAAUUAUCUGGCACAGAGGAUUAAAGCUCAGAAAUAAGUGAUUGCGAAACAGUUCAACUUCCCUGUUAAUGACAACAACAACAGCAACACGCUUAUUAAUUCCUAGCUGGAGCAUCAAGCUUAUGAAGAUUUCCAAGACUUUAUUGUUGACCCUUGUUGAAGAGAACUCUACUUGGCUUCUUUCCUGGCUUUCCUAAAUUGUUCACAUACAAGAUAAACUACCGUCAUUCAGACUUACAGAAGUGAGAAGACAAGCUGAACCAAAUGUAAAAUGGUAGCAAUUUACAGAUGUCAGAACUAACAUGUGGAUGAACUUAGAGAUGGAGAAGAAAGCUGGGCUUUUCCAAAGAGUGGAUCUAUCUGAACUGGAUAGCACUAUUGAACUUUGUUGCAUAUUUUGUGGUAGCUCUAAAACUCCUCUGCUUGCUUACAUACAACCAGACACCAGUGCCUUCUGAAGCUAAUCCAGGCCAUUUUUAUAACCUAAUGCAGUAGCACUUUGCAAUUAGAUGAAGAAGAUCGGUGGGAUUUCUUUCUGUGGUGAUUAAAAUGUGUCAGGGGAAGAAAUCAAGACAAUACUCCAAGUGAAAAAUAUAAAGUCAGUUAUUUCUUUAAUAUUUUGUGUUAUAGUAAUCAUUUUUAUAUUUUGAGCAUACUUUUUCUUGUCUACUUAAAUACUCAAAAUUAAUUAUAAAAUGUAAAUGUAAGCACAAUGAGAUACCAUCUCAUCCCAGUUAAAAUGGCUUUUAUCAAAAAGAUAGGGAAUAAUGAAUACUGGUGGAAGGAUGUGGAGAAUGGGGAACCCUCGUACACUGUCAAUGAGAAUGUAAAUUAGUACAGCCACUAUGGAAAACUGUAUGGAAGUGCCUCCGAAAACAAAGUAGAACUACCAUGUGAUCCAGCAAUUACACUAGUGGGUAUAUAUUCAAAAGAAAGGAAAUCAACAUAUUAAAGAGAUAGCUGCAUUCUCAUGUUUAUUGAAGUCCUGUUGAAAUAGCCAAAAUAUGGAAUCAACCUAAGUGCCCAUCAGUGGAUGAAUGGUUAAAGAAAAUGUGAUUGAUAUGCAAUGGAAUAUUAUUCAGCCAUAAAAAAGAAUGAAAUCCUGGCGGGGCACAGUGGCUCAUGCAAGUAAUCCCAGCACUGACCUCAUGAAGACAGAGAGUAGAUUGGUGGUUACCAGAGGUUGAGAAGGGGAGAGGAGAGGAGGGAUGAAGAGAGGUUGAUUGAUGGAUAGAAAUAUACAGUUUGAUAAUGAUAAAUCAGUAGGGUGACUAUAGUUUAUAAUAACCUAUUGUAUGGUUCAAAAUAGCUAAAAGAGAAUAAUUGAAAUAACGUAAGACAAAAAUUUAAGAUGAUAGAUAUCCCAAUUACACUGAUUUGAUCUUUACAAAUUAUAUGAAUGUAUUAAAUUAUUACAUGUAUCCCCAAAAUAUGUACAAGUAUUUUGUAUCAAUAAAAAAUAAAAUUUAAGAUAAAGUAAAUGUAAUGAUUAGCUUAUAUUUCCUAGAUCGGAAAUAAAUAUUUACUUAAGUA
rnacentral:lncRNA from 1 species